UACGUAGGUGGCGAGCGUUAUCCGGAUUUACUGGGCGUAAAGGGAGCGUAGGCGGACUUUUAAGUGAGAUGUGAAAUACCCGGGCUCAACUUGGGUGCUGCAUUUCAAACUGGAAGUCUAGAGUGCAGGAGAGGAGAAUGGAAUUCCUAGUGUAGCGGUGAAAUGCGUAGAGAUUAGGAAGAACACCAGUGGCGAAGGCGAUUCUCUGGACUGUAACUGACGCUGAGGCUCGAAAGCGUGGGGAGCAAACAGGAUUAGAUACCCU
rnacentral:rRNA from 1 species